rnacentral:rRNA from 1 species
UACAGAGGUCUCAAGCGUUGUUCGGAAUUACUGGGCGUAAAGCGCGCGCAGGCGGUUCUUCAAGUCAGAGGUGAAAGCCCAGAGCUCAACUCUGGAAUGGCCUUUGAGACUAGAGAACUAGGGUACGGGAGAGGUGAGUGGAAUUCCGAGUGUAGAGGUGAAAUUCGUAGAUAUUCGCAAGAACACCAGUGGCGAAGGCGGCUCACUGGCCCGGUACUGACGCUGAGGUGCGAAAGCGUGGGGAGCAAACAGG